rnacentral:rRNA from 1 species
UUAGAGUUUGAUCCUGGCUCAGGACAAACGCUGGCGGCGUGCCUAACACAUGCAAGUCGAACGCCCUGCGCAAGCAGGGAGUGGCGGACGGGUGAGUAACACGUGGGCUACCUACCUUUCGGUGAGGAAUACCGGCGAGAAAUCGCCGACAAUACCGCAUACGCUUCUUUCACGAGAAGCAAAGUCGCAAGACGCCGAAUGAUGGGCCUGCGUCCGAUUAGCCAGUUGGUGGGGUCACGGCUCACCAAAGCGACGAUCGGUAGCUGGUCUGAGAGGACGAUCAGCCACACUGGGAUUGAGAACGGCCCAGACUCCUACGGGGGGCAGCAGUGAGGAAUCUUCGUCAAUGGGGGCAACCCUGAACGAGCAACGCCGCGUGCAGGAGGACGGUUUUCGGAUCGUAAACUGCUUUUCUCGGGGACGACACAAAGGACGGUACCCGAGGAACAAGCCCCGGCUAACUACGUGCCAGCAGCCGCGGUAAUACGUAGGGGGCGAGCGUUGUCCGGAGUUACUGGGCGUAAAGCGCGCGCAGGCGGUCCAUUAAGUCUGGAGUGACAGUUCCCAGCUUACCUGGGAAAGGUCUUCGGAAACUGGUGGACUUGAGGGACUCAGAGGGAGACGGAAUUCCAGGUGGAGCGGUGAAAUGCGUAGAGAUCUGGAGGAACACCAAAGGCGAAGGCAGUCUCCUGGGAGUUUCCUGACGCUCAGGCGCGAAAGCCAGGGGAGCGAACGGGAUUAGAUACCCCGGUAGUCCUGGCCGUAAACGAUGACCACCAGGCGUGGGAGGGAUCGACCCCUUCCGUGCCGGCGCUUACGCUUUGAGUGGUCCGCCUGGGGAGUACGGUCGCAAGAUUAAAACUCAAAGGAAUUGACGGGGACCCGCACAAGCAGCGGAGCGUGUGGUUUAAUUCGACGCAACGCGAAGAACCUUACCAAAGCUUGACAUGCACUCGCACCAGCCGUAAUGGGCUCUUCCUUCGGGACGGGUGUGCAGGUGCUGCAUGGCUGUCGUCAGCUCGUGUCGUGAGAUGUUGGGUUCAGUCCCGCAACGAGCGCAACCCCUGUCGCUAGUUGAAUGUUCUAGCGAGACCGCCGUCUCAAAACGGAGGAAGGUGGGGAUGACGUCAAGUCAGCACGGCCCUGACGCUUUGGGCGACACACACGCUACAAUGGCCGGGACAAUGGGUUGCCAACCCGCGAGGGGGAGCCAAUCCCACAAACCCGGUCUCAGUUCGGAUUGUAGGCUGCAACUCGCCUGCAUGAAGUCGGAGUUGCUAGUAACCGCAAGUCAGCACAUUGCGGUGAAUACGUUCCCGGGUCUUGUACACACCGCCCGUCACACCACGAAAGUUGACAACACCUGAAGCCGCCGGGCUAACCCGCAAGGGGGGCAGGCGUCGAGGGUGGGGCCAAUGAUUGGGGUGAAGUCGUAACAAGGUAGCCGUA